UUCGGGGAACGAUAACGGCGUCGAGCGGCGGACGGGUGAGUAAUGCCUAGGAAAUUGCCCUGAUGUGGGGGAUAACCAUUGGAAACGAUGGCUAAUACCGCAUGAUGCCUACGGGCCAAAGAGGGGGACCUUCGGGCCUCUCGCGUCAGGAUAUGCCUAGGUGGGAUUAGCUAGUUGGUGAGGUAAGGGCUCACCAAGGCGACGAUCCCUAGCUGGUCUGAGAGGAUGAUCAGCCACACUGGAACUGAGACACGGUCCAGACUCCUACGGGAGGCAGCAGUGGGGAAUAUUGCACAAUGGGCGCAAGCCUGAUGCAGCCAUGCCGCGUGUGUGAAGAAGGCCUUCGGGUUGUAAAGCACUUUCAGUCGUGAGGAAGGUGGUGAAGUUAAUAGCUGUAUUAUUUGACGUUAGCGACAGAAGAAGCACCGGCUAACUCCGUGCCAGCAGCCGCGGUAAUACGGAGGGUGCGAGCGUUAAUCGGAAUUACUGGGCGUAAAGCGCAUGCAGGUGGUUUGUUAAGUCAGAUGUGAAAGCCCGGGGCUCAACCUCGGAAUAGCAUUUGAAACUGGCAGACUAGAGUACUGUAGAGGGGGGUAGAAUUUCAGGUGUAGCGGUGAAAUGCGUAGAGAUCUGAAGGAAUACCGGUGGCGAAGGCGGCCCCCUGGACAGAUACUGACACUCAGAUGCGAAAGCGUGGGGGAGCAAACAGGAUUAGAUACCCUGGUAGUCCACGCCGUAAACGAUGUCUACUUGGAGGUUGUGCCCUUGAGCCGUGCUUUCGGAGCUAACGCGUUAAGUAG
rnacentral:rRNA from 1 species